rnacentral:lncRNA from 1 species
UAAGCAUGCACAAUAUUUAGCAUGGUGGUUGCAGGGAGAGAAUUUAAGUUCUUGAGACAUUCAGGCUCAUGUUUUCCUGAACAUGUUGUCUCAUCCUUGCCUCAUGUUGUUGAGAACUUGAGAUCUUAAUAUCUUCUGGUCUCUUCAACUUUUGUUCAGUAGCUUCAACUUGCCUGCAUAUUUCUAACAAUCUUGGAGCUUUGGAUACUUCAUGGAGAUGAACCAGCCAGGUAAAGAAUGUACAGUUUCAGAAAUUGUGUGCAUGAGUUCAUCUGUUGUCUCGGACAUGAGCUGAUCAAGGAUUUCUGAACCUAUGUCAGCUGCAGUUUCCUCAGAUUCCCUGAUCAACCACCUCAUGCUGUUAAGAUCUUCCUCAACCAGCCUGAAGAUGAAUUGCAAGGUACCAGACACAUCUGGGGUGAACACCUCAGCCUUGUUCACCACACUCCUCUUCCUCCUCUCCCAGUCUGAACAUUUUGAGUCAUGGCAAUUGCUAGCUGCAGGAGACAACAGGUUGUCGAGAUCAUCGUCAAAAUCGGGUUGCAGCUUCCUCCCUGAGCUUUCUUGAUUCGUUGCAGGCCGAAUUUCUCCUGCAAUUUGUAGAGAUAUACAGUGAUAAUGCAGCCUGUCAGUAACAAUCUACCAUAAACAUAAACAAGAAAAGAUGCAUACAUG